rnacentral:rRNA from 1 species
CAGAGGGGGAUAACGUUUGGAAACGAACGCUAAUACCGCAUGAUAUUAUUGAGCUGCAUGGCUUGAUAAUCAAAGGAGCAAUCCGCUGAAAGAUGGGCUCGCGUCCGAUUAGGUAGUUGGCGGGGCAACGGCCCACCAAGCCGACGAUCGGUAGCCGGACUGAGAGGUUGAACGGCCACAUUGGGACUGAGACACGGCCCAGACUCCUACGGGAGGCAGCAGUGAGGGAUAUUGGUCAAUGGGGGAAACCCUGAACCAGCAACGCCGCGUGAGGGAAGACGGUUUUCGGAUUGUAAACCUCUGUCCUCUGUGAAGAUGAUGACGGUAGCAGAGGAGGAAGCUCCGGCUAACUACGUGCCAGCAGCCGCGGUGAUACGUAGGGAGCAAGCGUUGUCCGGAUUUACUGGGUGUAAAGGGUGCGUAGGCGGCUUUGCAAGUCAGAAGUGAAAUCCAUGGGCUUAACCCGUGAACUGCUUUUGAAACUGCAGAGCUUGAGUGGAGUAGAGGUAGGCGGAAUUCCCGGUGUAGCGGUGAAAUGCGUAGAGAUCGGGAGGAACACCAGUGGCGAAGGCGGCCUGCUGGGCUCUAACUGACGCUGAGGCACGAAAGCGUGGGUAGCAAACAGGAUUAGAUACCCUGGUAGUCCACGCUGUAAACGAUGAUUACUAGGUGUGGGUGGACUGACCCCAUCCGUGCCGGAGU